rnacentral:rRNA from 1 species
GACGAACGCUGGCGGCGUGCUUAACACAUGCAAGUCGAGCGGUAAGGCCCUUCGGGUACGACGAGCGGCGAACGGGUGAGUAACACGUGGGUGACCUGCCUCUAGCUCUGGGAUAAGCCUGGGAAACUGGGUCUAAUACCGGAUAUGACUCCACGGCGCAUGUUGUAGGGUGGAAAGCCUUGUGCGGCUAGAGAUGGGCCCGCGGCCUAUCAGCUUGUUGGUGGGUGAUGGCCUACCAAGGCGACGACGGUAGCCGGCCUGGGAGGGCGACCGGCCACACUGGGACUGAGACACGGCCCAGACUCCUACGGGAGGCAGCAGUGGGGAAGUCUUGCGCAAUGGCGAAAGCCUGACGCAGCGACGCCGCGUGAGGGAUG